AUUGAACGCUGGCGGCAUGCCUAACACAUGCAAGUCGAGCGGAGCGGCGGACGGGUGAGUAAUGCCUAUGAAUCUGCCUGUUAGUGGGGGCUAACGUCCGGAAACGGGCGCUAAUACCGCAUACUAUCAGAUGAGCCUAGGUCGGAUUAGCUAGUUGGUGGGGUAAAGGCCUACCAAGGCGACGAUCCGUAACUGGUCUGAGAGUAUGAUCAGUCACACUGGAACUGAGACACGGUCCAGACUCCUACGGGAGGCAGCAGUGGGGAAGAUUGGACAAUGGGCGAAAGCCUGAUCCAGCCAUGCCGCGUGUGUGAAGAAGGUCUUCGGAUUGUAAAGCACUUUAAGUUGGGAGGCGUUACCAACAGAAUAAGCACCGGCUAACUUCGUGCCAGCAGCCGCGGUAAUAC
rnacentral:rRNA from 1 species